UCCAACUCAAGAAGGAUCAGGUGGU
rnacentral:piRNA from 2 species